rnacentral:rRNA from 1 species
UCAGACGAUGCGUCAUGCAUAUCAAUAAGCGGAGGAAAAGAAACUAACAAGGAUUCCCCUAGUAACGGCGAGUGAAGCGGGAAGAGCUCAAAUUUGAAAUCUUAAAGGGUUUCCCUUUACGAAUUGUAGUUUAAAGAAGUGUUUUCUGUUGAGGUUUUGGUAAAAGUUCUUUGGAAUAGGACAUCAUAGAGGGUGAGAAUCCCGUAUUUGACCUUUACUUUCAACUUUGUGAUACACUUUCAAAGAGUCGGAUUGUUUGGGAAUGCGGUCCAAAAUGGGUGGUAAAUUUCAUCUAAAGCUAAAUAUUGGCGAGAGACCGAUAGCGAACAAGUACCGUGAGGGAAAGAUGAAAAGAACUUUGAAAAGAGAGUUAAACAGUACGUGAAAUUGUCAAAAGGGAAGCGUUUGACACCAGUGUUGUUUUUCUGAAAAUCAAUUAAAGAACUGUUUAUGCUAAGCUGUUUAGACUUUAUCAGCUAUCUGUUUAGUUUUGAGCUUUUCUUUAAUGCACUUUUCAGUUAACAAGUCAACAUCAAUUUCUUUUGCUGUAAAAAAGCUUGAGGAAGGUGGCUUGAGAUUCGUCUUAAGUGUUUAUAGCCUCUUGCCUAUGCAGUCGGAGAGAUUGAGGUCUGCAGCGUAGAUCCUUCGGGGCUAAAUGCAUUUGUGCUAAGUUAUAGCAUUUUAUAGACAACUUGUUGACUAUGAUUUGUCUUGUAGCUUACUCGCUUAUGUUAUUUUACCUACGCUUAGGAUGUUGACACACGCGCGUGCUCG